rnacentral:rRNA from 1 species
UCCACACGUACCCAUCCCGAACACGACCGUUAAGCCCUCCAGCGCCGAUGGUACUUGGACCGCAGGGUCCUGGGAGAGUAGGACGUUGCCAAGC